UUAUAAUUGUGUUUAUUUAUAUUAUAUCGAUAAGAAUAUUAUUAUAAAUAAUCAUAAAUCGUUUUACAUAAAUAGCACCUGUGCUAAUAACUAUUAUGGUACGUACAUUACGAAAAGUUAUAAAGCGCUAAUAGAUUUCAGAGUAGUUAAUUUUUUUUAUUUUUUUAUUGCUUAGAUGUGUGGUCGAGCUCUCAGACCACCUUGUGUUAAGUGGUUACUGGAGUCCAUAGACAUCUACAACGUAAAUGCGCCACCCACCUUGAGAUGUAAGUUCUAAGGUCUCAGUAUAGUUACAACGGCUGCCCCACCCUUCAAGCCGAAACGCAUUACUGCUUCACGGUCGAAAUAGGCGGCGUAGUGGUACCUACCCGUGCGGACUCACAAGAGGUCCUACCACCAGUAAAAUUACUAUUUAAAAUAAUUAUAAAUAAUUAUUUUAAAUUUGCCUUUAAUUGUUCGUGAAAUGCUUUAAAUCACUGCUAUUUUUGCCAAAUUUUAGUACUUAAGCACAAUGUACAUAAUUAUUUUAUGUAUAGUGUAAUAGAAAUUUGUGAAUUAGUUAUUUUAACACAACGAUGCUGGGUGGAGAGUGACAAUUGAAUAUAAUAAUAUGUACAUACAUCAAAUACAAUCUGAUUUUACAGUGCUAUGUAAUAGUAUUUAUUUAUUAUAUUUUAAUAGAUAUCAUAUCGAUUAUUGUUACUCGAUUUUACUAUUCGAAAAUCGAAGAAGUCGUCGUGGCCUAAAGGAUAAGACGUCCGGUGCAUUCGUAUCUAGUAAUGCAUCGGUGUUCGAAACUCGCAGGGGGGUAUCAAUUUUUCUAGGCAAAUACGUACUUAACAAAUGUUCACGAUUGACUUCCACGGUGAAGGAAUAACGUCGUGUAAUAAAAAUGAAACCCGCAAAAUUAUAAUUUGCGUAAUUACUGGUGGUAGGACCUCUUGUGAGUCCGCACGGGUAGGUAGUGUAGGUACCACCAUCCUGCCUAUUUCUGCAGUGAAGCAGUAAUGCGUUUCGGUUUGAAGGGUGAGGCAGCCGUUGUAACUAUACUUGAGAUCUUAGAACUUAUAUCUCAAGGUGGGUGAUGCAUUUAUGCUAUAGAUGUCUAUGGGCUCCAGUAACCAUUUAACACCAGGUGGGCUGUAAGUUCGUCUACCCAUCUAAGCAAUAAAAAAAAAAGAAUUUUUGUACUCAGGACAUUAGAUGAAAUCGAUUCUUCAAGAGUGAACUCCAAAAAGCUUCACCAAUUUCUAUCCUGCUUUCUGAGUACUAGACAAACCAUUCCUAAGGAGAGUCAAGGGGAUUUUGUACGUCAAAAUAUAACACGGGAAUAUGAAAAAAGUAAUAAGAAAAAAGCCCAAGUAAGCUGAUUUCGACUCUGCCGAUUUAAAAUAGUAUUGCGUUUCAAGUUCAAUGUUGACAUUUAUCGUCAUGACGUGUUUGUGUGAAUAUAAUAUAAACGUAUUAUUAUUGACUUCAAGGCAAAUGUCAGCAAAGGACAUUGAUAUAAAUCUUAUCGAUUAAUGAGUUAUUACUUGGAUAUGUGCAGAUUGUGUACUUUAGUGCAUUAUCAUAUUUAUUAGAGUGCAGACAAUAUCGAUCAAACUUAAACGUAAAUGAAUUUCCUUCUAUAUUUAAAAGAGCAGGUUUUGAUUAUUUCCUAAUAGAACCGGAAGAUUUUUUACCGAAUUCCUCUGUGCCUGCCAACGAUGGAGCACGGCUCGGGUUCCUCAGUACUGGCUUCUGCUUGUUGAAAAAGUUCAGCGAAGCUUUUAAUUCUUUGACAAGAACUUCUUUGUGUGUGACCUGGUGGGGAAUUAAGGGGUUAUUUAAUAAAAAGCAAGAAUACAUUUGAGAGAUGAAUGAAGAUGAAGAUGAAGAUACGGCUAAUAAUAUAAAGCAACAAAGAUCGUUACAUAAAAUAAUAGAGAUUAUAACGUCACGAAUGCCACUAAUUCACAUUGUGAUGUCUCCUAUAACUACUGUAUACCUAUCUAGUGCAAUUAAUAUAAUUAAGAAAUGUCAAUACGUCGUUGAAUGUGGAAUGUUUAA